CCCUUCGGGGUGUGACUGCGUACCUUUUGUAUAAUGGGUCAGCGACUUAUAUUCUGUAGCAAGGUUAACCGUAUAGGGGAGCCGGAGGGAAACCGAGUCUUAACCGGGCGUUAAGUUGCAGGGUAUAGACCCGAAACCCGGUGAUCUAGCCAUGGGCAGGUUGAAGGUUGGGUAACACUAACUGGAGGACCGAACCGACUAAUGUUGAAAAAUUAGCGGAUGACCUGUGGCUGGGGGUGAAAGGCCAAUCAAACCGGGAGAUAGCUGGUUCUCCCCGAAAGCUAUUUAGGUAGCGCCUCGUGAAUUCAUCUCCGGGGGUAGAGCACUGUUUCGGCUAGGGGGCCAUCCCGGCUUACCAACCCGAUGCAAACUGCGAAUACCGGAGAAUGUUAUCACGGGAGACACACGGCGGGUGCUAACGUCCGUCGUGAAGAGGGAAACAACCCAGACCGCCAGCUAAGGUCCCAAAGUCAUGGUUAAGUGGGAAACGAUGUGGGAAGGCCCAGACAGCCAGGAUGUUGGCUUAGAAGCAGCCAUCAUUUAAAGAAAGCGUAAUAGCUCACUGGUCGAGUCGGCCUGCGCGGAAGAUGUAACGGGGCUAAACCAUGCACCGAAGCUGCGGCAGCGAACGUAUCACCCAAGACAACUUUACGGAGUUGACGAUUGACGGAGCGAAGCGACGUCAAAGCGUUCAUUAAAGUCGAGUUGGCUUAGGGAUACGUUCGUUGGGUAGGGGAGCGUUCUGUAAGCCUGUGAAGGUGUGUCGUGAGGCAUGCUGGAGGUAUCAGAAGUGCGAAUGCUGACAUAAGUAACGAUAAAGCGGGUGAAAAGCCCGCUCGCCGGAAGACCAAGGGUUCCUGUCCAACGUUAAUCGGGGCAGGGUGAGUCGACCCCUAAGGCGAGGCCGAAAGGCGUAGUCGAUGGGAAACGGGUUAAUAUUCCCGUACUUGGUGUUACUGCGAAGGGGGGACGGAGAAGGCUAUGUUGGCCGGGCGACGGUUGUCCCGGUUUAAGCGUGUAGGUGUGUGUUCCAGGUAAAUCCGGUUCACUUUAACACUGAGGCGUGACGACGAGGCACUACGGUGCUGAAGCAACAAAUGCCCUGCUUCCAGGAAAAGCCUCUAAGCAUCAGGUAACACGAAAUCGUACCCCAAACCGACACAGGUGGU
rnacentral:rRNA from 1 species